rfam:Prochlorococcus phage P-RSM4, complete genome.
GGGACAGUAGCUCAGCGGAAAGAGCAACUGCCUUCUAAGCAGUCGGUCGUAGGUUCAAUUCCUACCUGUCUCG